ACUAAAAACUCCCUAACUGAAAUUUUUUUGUACAUUAACAUGUUUUUUAUUUUUUUUUCUUGUUUCUUUCAUUCUUUCAACGUGACUUUAUUCAAAUUUCAUCAUACAAUGAUUAUAUCACUUCUUUUUUUUCUCCCUAACACAAAAAAAAAGACAAACCGAAAGACUACAGCUUGUAAAAAAAAUGAAAAGGUGUAGAAAAAGAAGAAGGUAGUUUGAGCUUCUGAUCUUCUAAAUCCUAGAUUCUCCGAAAUUGUCCGAUCUUUUAAAUCUUUUUAAUCAAUUCUCGUUUUGUUGGUUUCUUAGUGUUGUUGUGGAUUUCAAA
rnacentral:lncRNA from 1 species